AUGGAGAAGCUUAAGCUAAAAAAAGAACAGAGGUGCAUCCUUCAGAGUCAAGCUGAUAUAAUCCAAAACACAAGGAAGGCCAUGAAGGAGAUAGAGGUGGACAGAGACCACCUUAAAGAAGAGAAGAAGAAGCUAGAGAAUAUCAUUGCUGAGAUCCUGAAGGUUGGUCAUGGGUGCAAGGAAAAGCUGGACAAGAUCAAGGAAGUUGUGAUGGAGGAGUGA
rnacentral:rRNA from 1 species